GUGCUUGCUUUGACAGCAUAUAUACUAAAAUUGGAACAAUACAGAAAGAUUGUAUGACCCCUCUGCAAAGGAUGACAUGAAAAUUUGUGAAGUGUUCCAUAUUUUA